AAGUUUCUUGUGUGAUGUGAGUAGUUUGGUGCUCUCCAAAUGUGGUCAAAGACAAAGAAAAAGGGUGUUUGCUGUUGUUGUCACUGAGUGGCUGCACUGAUGAAAGACACAUGAAGUAAAACCAGGAACUUUUGAGUACUUUGAGGAAGUUGGCCAAAAGGGUUCUGCAGACAUAUUUUCUGCAAAUGAUGUGAGUUCAGUUGCAUAGCUCUCUGCAACAAUUUUCUUCUUUCUACUUAAGGGGCCUGGGACAGUGUCCACUGGUUCUUGUUGUAGUGUUUGUUUAAAGAAAUUAUUUUUAGAGUAACUUUAGAUGUAUAAAUUCAGAGCUUCUCGAAAUACUUCCAUCAGUCACGUUUGGGGCUAUGCAAGAACCAUGUGGAUGUCAAGACUGUUCAUUCUGCAAUCGGCAAAUCUGAAUCUAUGAUGUGGUGGACAGUGGAAACGAGCAUCCCUAGACCUUCUGGAGAUCACCCUGUAUGAUGCUCCACUUACCAGCUGGAAAUACAAACCAAGGUCUCACUUGUGGCACCUCCUUCAUCUCUCUGGUCCUGGUCCACCACAUUCAGAGCACUGCCCGAGACUUCCUGCUCAGCCAAAGAUCAGGCCUGGUUAAAAGUACCUGCUUACUGGGACAUUCAGGUUAAUCCUGGACUGUAAUAAUAAGUCUUAAGAAUUCCAUUUUUUUGUUGUUGUUUUUUAUUGUUACCCUUUUCAGACAUUUUAUUUAACUGUGUUAUGUAACAAAAUGUAUGCUGUAGAUAGUUUGUAAAAAACAAAA